GACGAACGCUGGCGGCGUGCUUAACACAUGCAAGUCGAACGGUGAAGCGCUUUCCUUUUUGGUUGGUGUGGAUGAGUGGCGAACGGGUGAGUAACACGUGAGUAACCUGCCCCCUUCUUCUGGAUAACCGCAUGAAAGUGUGGCUAAUACGGGAUAUUCUGCGCCUGCUGCAUGGUGGGUGUGGGAAAGAUUGUGCCUUUGGGUGUUUUCGGUGGGGGAUGGGCUCGCGGCCUAUCAGCUUGUUGGUGGGGUGAUGGCCUACCAAGGCGGUGACGGGUAGCCGGCCUGAGAGGGUGGACGGUCACACUGGGACUGAGACACGGACCAGAAUCCUACGGGAGGCAGCAGUGGGGAAUAUUGCACAAUGGGCGCAAGCCUGAUGCAGCGACGCCGCGUGAGGGAUGGAGGCCUUCGGGUUGUGAACCUCUUUCGCCAGUGAAGCAGGCCUGCUCCUUGUGGGUGGGUUGACGGUAGCUGGAGAAGAAGCGCCGGCUAACUACGUG
rnacentral:rRNA from 1 species